rnacentral:ncRNA from 1 species
GCAGGGGCGCCGAAAGGCUGAGAACGCGCAAGCGUGACCCUUAAUCACUUGAUCCGGGUAAUACCGGCGGAAGGAGGCAGACACA